UACGGGGGGGGCAAGCGUUGUUCGGAAUUACUGGGCGUAAAGGGCUCGUAGGUGGCCAACUAAGUCAGACGUGAAAUCCCUCGGCUUAACCGGGGAACUGCGUCUGAUACUGGAUGGCUAGAGAUUGGGAGAGGGAUGCGGAAUUCCAGGUGUAGCGGUGAAAUGCGUAGAUAUCUGGAGGAACACCGGUGGCGAAGGCGGCAUUCUGGACCGACAUUGACGCUGAGGAGCGAAAGCCAGGGGAGCAAACGGG
rnacentral:rRNA from 1 species